UCUAAGGAGAAGGGGAAAUCAUCAACUGUCUAUUCAAACAUGUGAUAUUUACUGAAUGAGACGGAGAUUUCGAUGGCAUGGUUGAUGAUCUACACACUACUGUCAUCAAUCAACAGACCUACAAUCAUAUUACUGUUGUUUCUAAGGAGAAGGGGAAAUCAUCAACUGUCUCUUGAAACGUGUGAUAUUUACUGAAAGAGACGGAGAUUUCGAUGGCAUGGUUGAUGAUCUACACACUACUGUCAUCAACCAACAGACCUACAAUCAUAUUACUGUUGUUUCUAAGAAGAAGGGGAAAUUAUAGACCUAAGUACGCUAUUAACUAUAGUGCCUUAUCUGCAUUGUUGAGAAAAGACUAAAUAAAUUAUAUAAUAUCAUAUAUCACAAAAACAUUCAUUCUUCAAAACAAGGCUGGUAUCACAAGACUGUCAAUCACAUCCACUUUCUGAAGGUCAAAGAGAGGGUCAGUCGGGGUCAAAUGUGUGUUUCCUUAGGUUCACGGUACAGAGGAAGGGUCACACUACCACCAGGGUCACAAAACUACCCCUGGAAAUGCCCACAACUCCUAGGAAAGCCUUGGCAAAUGUGUGUUUCCUUAGGUUCACGGUACAGAGGAAGGGUCACACUACCACCAGGGUCACAAAACUACCCCUGGAAAUGCCCACAACUCCUAGGAAAGCCUUGGCAAAUGUGUGUUUCCUUAGGUUCACGGUACAGAGGAAGGGUCACACUACCACCAGGGUCACAAAACUACCCCUGGAAAUGCCCACAACUCCUAGGAAAGCCUUGGCAAAUGUGUGUUUCCUUAGGUUCAUGGUAUCGGUACUCAAAAUUUUGGUACCGGUAAAGUAUCGGUACUCAAAAUUUUGGUACCGGUAAAGUAUCGGUACUCAAAAUUUUGGUACCGGUAAAGUAUCGGUACUCAAAAUUUUGGUACCGGUAAAGUAUCGGUACUCAAAAUUUUGGUACCGGUAAAGUAUCGGUACUCAAAAUUUUGGUACCGGUAAAGUAUUGGUACUCAAAAUUUUGGUACCGGUAAAGUAUUGGUUCCUAAUAGUC